rnacentral:rRNA from 1 species
UACGGAGGGGGCUAGCGUUGUUCGGAAUUACUGGGCGUAAAGCGCGCGUAGGCGGCUUUGUAAGUUAGAGGUGAAAGCCCGGAGCUCAACUCCGGAACUGCCUUUAAGACUGCAUCGCUAGAACGAUGGAGAGGUAAGUGGAAUUCCGAGUGUAGAGGUGAAAUUCGUAGAUAUUCGGAAGAACACCAGUGGCGAAGGCGACUUACAGGACAUCUGUUGACGCUGAGGUGCGAAAGCGUGGGGAGCAAACAGG